UACGAAGGGGGCUAGCGUUGCUCGGAAUGACUGGGCGUAAAGGGCGCGUAGGCGGUUUGUACAGUCAGGUGUGAAAUUCCCGGGCUCAACCUGGGGGCUGCACUUGAUACGUAUGGACUGGAGUGGGGAAGAGGGUCGUGGAAUUCCCAGUGUAGAGGUGAAAUUCGUAGAUAUUGGGAAGAACACCGGUGGCGAAGGCGCUGCUCUGGGCCGGUACUGACGCUGAGGAGCGAAAGCGUGGGUAGCAAACAGG
rnacentral:rRNA from 1 species